GAUGAACGCUAGCGGCAGGCUUAACACAUGCAAGUCGAGGGGUAUAGGUUUUCGGACCUAGAGACCGGCGCACGGGUGCGUAACGCGUAUGCAAUCUACCUUUCACAGAGGGAUAGCCCAGAGAAAUUUGGAUUAAUACCUCAUAGUAUAGCAGUUUCGCAUGAAACCACUAUUAAAGUAUCAACGGUGAAAGAUGAGCAUGCGUCCCAUUAGCUAGAUGGUAAGGUAACGGCUUACCAUGGCUACGAUGGGUAGGGGUCCUGAGAGGGAGAUCCCCCACACUGGUACUGAGACACGGACCAGACGCCUACGGGAGGCAGCAGUGAGGAAUAUUUGUCAAUGGACGCAAGUCUGAACCAGCCAUGCCGCGUGCAGGAUGACGGUCCUAUGGAUUGUAAACUGCUUUUGUACGAGAAGAAACAACAUUACGUGUAAUGUCUUGACGGUAUCGUAAGAAUAAGGAUCGGCUAACUCCGUGCCAGCCGCCGCCGUAAAAC
rnacentral:rRNA from 1 species